GACGAACGCUGGCGGCGUGCUUAACACAUGCAAGUCGAACGGAAAGGCCCCCAUCUUGGUGGGGGUGCUCGAGUGGCGAACGGGUGAGUAACACGUGGGUGAUCUGCCCUGUACUUCGGGAUAAGCUUGGGAAACUGGGUCUAAUACCGGAUAGGACCAUGGUUUAGUGUCUCAUGGUGGAAAGAUUAUUGUUUUGGUGCAGGAUGAGCUCGCGGCCUAUCAGCUUGUUGGUGGGGUAAUGGCCUACCAAGGCGUCGACGGGUAGCCGGCCUGAGAGGGUGGACGGCCACAUUGGGACUGGGAUACGGCCCAGACUCCUACGGGAGGCAGCAGUGGGGGAUAUUGCACAAUGGGCGCAAGCCUGAUGCAGCGCCGCCGCGUGGGGGAUGACGGCCUUCGGGUUGUAAACUCCUUUCGUUAGGGACGAAGCCGCACUUUUUUUGGGUGUGGUGACGGUUCCUUUGUGAAGAAGCACCGGCUAACUACGUG
rnacentral:rRNA from 1 species